rnacentral:rRNA from 1 species
UACGUAGGGUGCGAGCGUUAAUCGGAAUUACUGGGCGUAAAGCGCGUGUAGGCGGCUCGGUAAGUCUGCUGUGAAAGUCCAGGGCUCAACCCUGGGAUGCCGGUGGAUACUGUCGAGCUCGAGUCCGGAAGAGGCGAGUGGAAUUCCUGGUGUAGCGGUGAAAUGCGCAGAUAUCAGGAGGAACACCAAUGGCGAAGGCAGCUCGCUGGGACGUGACUGACGCUGAGACGCGAAAGCGUGGGGAGCAAACAGG